rnacentral:rRNA from 1 species
GGAUCCUACGGGAGGCAGCAGUGGGGAAUAUUGCGCAAUGGGCGAAAGCCUGACGCAGCGACGCCGCGUGAGGGAUGGAGGUCUUCGGAUCGUAAACCUCUGUCAGCAGGGAAGAACGGUCACUGUGCUAAUCAGCAGUGAAUUGACGGUACCUGCAAAGGAAGCACCGGCUAACUCCGUGCCAGCAGCCGCGGCAAUACGGAGGGGGCGAGCGUUAAUCGGAAUGACUGGGCGUAAAGCGCUCGAAGGCGGUAUGUCAAGUCAAGGGUGAAAUCCCCGCGCUCA